CCUCGGAUUUUAAUUCCAGUUGAAAUGAAAACGAGAUGAGUUUGUUGCAUCAUUUGAUACACUUCUGGAAGACAGCAGAUACUUGUAAUGUAGAAGGUGUUAUCAAAAAUGGGGAGAAAAUACAAUAGUGAUGGAGGUUUCCAGAGAUGCUAGGGCUGGGCCUGUGCUUCUAAAGUCUGUAACAGUAAGGCAGAACAGUUAUGUUCCUCUGGAAAAGGCUUUGCUAUGGAAAGUAGCAGUUUGGGCCAACUAAACAUUGCUUUUGGAGGACCAAACAGGCCUGAAAUGCACCUCUCGAGGCCAAAGAAUGGAAAAAUUGAUGGAGUGCAUUAAGCUGUUUCCAGGAUGUCAGAGGGGUCUUUGAUAGAGCUGAUCAUCCUAGCUCUGCAGUGACAACACAGAUGACAGAUGAUACUCAGAGGAGCCCCUUAUUCAUCUCCAGCUGCAGCAACUCCACCGCAGUCACGCUGUGUGUGUGGCUGCAGCUGCACGCCCAGCACAGCCCCAGGAAUGCUACCUCCGGAGACAAAUCAUCUCCUUUUCCUGGGUGGUGGAAGGAUGCUUUGGUGCAGAGAAGUGUGUUGCUGACCAGACCUCCUCCAGAAUCUGACCGGCAUCCCAGAGGAUUUGUGCACAGUUUCUGGAAAACACAGUGUAUGCUGCUGAUAGAGAUAUGUCUCCUUUUUCUGCCAUCCAAAUGCCAAACAAAGAGGAAUGGAAACCAAAUGGAAGCGGAGUGCUUUUGUUCGUGA
rnacentral:lncRNA from 1 species